AAGCACCUUCACAUUGGUCCAUUCAAAUCCACAGGCUUUCAGGCAUUAACCCAUCCCCAUAAGAGGCUUCAUGAAAUGGCUCAUCAAAUGCCUGGCAACAGAGGAAGCCAUCUGGUGAAGGGUGGAUUGUGAUUAUAACCCAUCCAGAUUUGCCUUCUCAUCAGCAACAACACUGUUGUCUCAUUCGCCCCUGUAAUUGGUCGUGAAAGCCUAGGGACAAAAGAUUGAACAUAAACCAAUCUGACCACCAGGUUUUUUUUGUGUACCUUUUUUUUUUCUUUUUUAAGUUGGGAGCAUCCAAUCACACUCAUCUCUGAGGUUAGAACAAUUUACCUUGUGGAAAUCCCCUUCGUCAUUGAAGAUGAAUCUUGCUCAGCUAACUACUUCCCAGCUGCUGGGCAGCAGGAAUAUUCAGGGCCACCAUUAAGCCUACCCCUCAGCAAAAUCUCCCCAUGGCUGAAGGCCAGGCAGUUCAACAGGAAUCCUACGGAGCAACCACUGCAAAGCUCACUGAGUGGACUUCCAGGCAUUUUCACACCCACAGGAAAAAUUGCAAGAACCCAUAAAGCCAUGCUGAGGAGUAUAGGACGUCAGGCACAGGCAUAAGGCAGCCAAGAAGGAUGAGCCGGUGAUCUCUGCAGUCUGCCCAUAACUCCACACAAAACUUUAC
rnacentral:lncRNA from 1 species